UUUGUAUCUCGUGCAUGGUAGUAGUUAGGAUUAAAAGCCUAACUAGCUAUAUGCACGUAGUCGUAACUGAAAGGUUGAUCGACCACAGUGGGCCUGAAUAAAGCCCAUGACGAUUGUCACAGCAGUGAGGAAUAUUGGUCAAUAGCCUAACGGCUGAACCAGCAACUUGGAGGAAUGUAUAGCAAUAGCAAUUAUGAUAAUGACAUUGUCUGCCUAUGUGUCUUGACCAAAUUACGUGCCAGCAGUCGCGGUAAUACGUAGAAGACUAGUGUUAUUCAUGUUUAAUCGGUUUAAAGGGUACCUAGACGGUAAAUCAAGCCUAAAAAAAAAUAAUUGAAGGGACUAAUUUGCUAGAGUUACUUAUGAGGGGGUAUUAAAGUACUGCUGGUGUAGAGAUGAAAUUCUGUCAUACCUCUUUUCAAUAUGUGAUAACUGACGUUGAGGGACGAAGGCUUUGUGUAGCGAACAGGAUUAGAUACCCCAGUAGUCAAAGCAGAAAAUGAUGAAUGUCAUAGAUUAGAUAUAUAAGUUUAUUCUAUAAAUGAAAGUGUAAGCAUUCCACCUCAAGAGUAAUUUGGCAACAUUGGAACUGAAAUCAUUAGACCGUUUCAAUUUGAAUAUUUAUAUCUAUUAUUGUUUUUUCUUCUUAUUUUUUAAUUAAAAACAAUAAUUAAGAAGAAAAAUAAGAAAAAGAGGCAAUAAGAUAUAUUUACAAGCGUUGCACGGCUGUCUUCAGUUAAUGUCGCGAGACUUUGGUUAGUUCCAUUAAAUUAACGUAAACCCUUACUUUAUUUUUAUAUAGAGUAGUUCCCCGCUAUAUUGGAUA
rnacentral:rRNA from 1 species